GAAAAAUGUGGAGUUUUUUUGGUGAUUGUUGCGGGCAAAAAUCCUUGACUAUGCUGCAUGUUUUCACGAAAAAUGCAAUGGAAUAUUCAGAAUAUUUAAGCAAUUUUAUGCAAUGAAAUUGCGGGAACUUGCAAGAAUUGUAGGAACGUGCAAAAACUGCAGUUUGUUGAAAAAGA